AAAUUCAUACUUCUGAAUUAGUGCUGUGAAAAUCAAGAAAAGCUCCAUUCGAGCCAAUCCUUCACCAACGCAAUUUCGUUUGCCGACACUGAAUGGGAU
ensembl:ncRNA K09A11.9 ncRNA